CGUCCCUCCCAGCCUCACGUCCCAGCGCCGUCCCACGAAGAGCGGUUCAUCCCCGGGACACGUCCACCACCGUCGUUGGAUGGCAACAUGGCGACAGAGUUUCACAACCUCCAGGAGUUAAGACACAGCGCCUCUCUGGCCAAUAAGGUGUUCAUCCAGAGAGACUACAGCGAAGGAACCACCUGCAGGUUCCACACCAAGUUCCCCCCCGAGCUGGAUACCAGGAUCGAGCGGCCGUUGUUUGAGGACACAGUGAAGACGUUGAAUAACUACUAUGCCGAGGCAGAGAAGAUGGGGGGGCGGUCCUACCUGGAGGGCUGCCUGGCCUGCGUCACCGCCUACGUCAUCUUCCUCUGCAUGGAGACCCGCUACGAGAAGGUGUUGAAGAAGAUAGCCAGGUACAUCCAGGAGCAGAAUGAGAAGAUCUACGCCCCCCGGGGUCUCCUCAUCACCGACCCCAUUGAGAGGGGCAUGAGGGUCAUUGAGAUCUCCAUCUACGAGGACCGAGGCUCCAGCGGCAGCAGCUCAGGCGGCAGCUCCACGUCCGGCAGCAGCGCUCGGUGACCGGGCUGUCUCCUCCACCUUCGCCCUGGAGCUCUCCUCCACCUCCACCCCCCACCCUGGAGCUGUCUCCUCCACCUCCACCCCCAUCCUGGACCUCCCAGUGGGGCACAUACCUCCAUCCCUCUCCACCCUCUCCACUUCGCAACAUAGCUGCUCCACCACUGACUGCUGCCCUACCGAACCCUGAAUGGUCCCAGACCCGGUGCUGGACCACGCGGGGUUGACCUGCAGCAGGAACCGACCAAACAUGACCACAAACAUAGAUCUCCACUCCCCUGGACUGUCUGGCACUGUAGCUGUUCACUGCUGAAUGUAGCUCAUCAAGCCCAUCCUUGUUGUUGUAGCUCAUCUGUGACUUUCCCUUUUCUUUCCUUCUUCCUUUCUUUUCUUCCUGCUCUUUCUUUCUCCCGUUCCUUCUCUCUCUCGCUCUCCAAACAACCUGUUGUUUACGUUCUCCUCCAGUUCCGUACCAACUCCUCUUCCUCUGAGCCUCGAUCCAAACUAUUAUGCAAAAACACAGCGACACACAGACUGACGUAGCCUCGUGAGCAGGAGGGAAGAGGAGCGUGAAGAAGGAAGCUGUCACAGGUGUCUGAGCCUCGUGCGUGUCAGCUGUCUGUCAGCCUCUCUGAUUCAGAACGCCUCUGAGAUGUAGCCUGUUCCACCAGUCUUCCUGUUCCUGUCUGAGAUGUUCUGGUCAUGCCCUCUCUUCCUGUGUUCAACAAACAUGAAGAGAACCUCUGUAGAAUCUGGAGGGAACCUCAGUAGAACAUCAGGAGAACCUUUUUAGAUCCCUGGAAAGAACCUCCUUUAGAACCUAAAAAGGAACUUGAUAAAACCUGAAGAGAACCUCUGUAGAACAUGAAAAGAACCUCUGUAGAACCUGGAGAGAACCUCCAUAGAACCCGGAGAGAAGUUCUAAAGAACCGUUGUUAACUGCCAAGCCGUCUGUGGGACUUUCCCCCCAUGUGAAGUGUCUCUCCUGUAGCUGACCAGAGACACCUGUGCUUACCUAGAGAAGAUGUUUUUUUUCAUAUUGCUCCAUGUUAUUUAUUACUGUGGACUGGAGGUGUGUGGGUGGAGUGUGUGGGUGGAGUGUGUGUGUGAGAGUGUGUGUCCGUAGAGAACAUCCAAUAAACACUGCUUCCA